rnacentral:rRNA from 1 species
CCUACGGGAGGCAGCAGUGGGGAAUUUUGGACAAUGGGCGCAAGCCUGAUCCAGCCAUGCCGCGUGUGUGAAGAAGGCCUUCGGGUUGUAAAGCACUUUCGGCCGGGACGAAAUCGCGCGGGCUAUUACCCCGCGUGGAUGACGGUACCGGAAGAAGAAGCACCGGCUAACUGCGUGCCAGCAGCCGCGGUAAUACGUAGGGUGCGAGCGUUAAUCGGAAUUACUGGGCGUAAAGGGUGCGCAGGCGGCGUCGCAAGUCAGGCGUGAAAUCCCCGGGCUUAACCUGGGAAUUGCACUUGAAACUACGAUGCUGGAGUAUGGCAGAGGGAGGUGGAAUUCCACGUGUAGCGGUGAAAUGCGUAGAGAUGUGGAGGAACACCGAUGGCGAAGGCAGCCUCCUGGGCCAAUACUGACGCUCAUGCACGAAAGCGUGGGGAGCAAACAGGAUUAGAUACCCUGGUAGUCCACGCCCUAAACGAUGAUGACUAGUUGUUGGAGGAGUUAAAUCCUUUAGUAACGCAGCUAACGCGAGAAGUCAUCCGCCUGGGGAGUACGGUCGCAAGAUUAAAACUCAAAGGAAUUGACGG